UACGGGGGGGGUAAGCGUUGUUCGGAAUUACUGGGCGUAAAGGGCUCGUAGGCGGCCAACUAAGUCAGACGUGAAAUCCCUCAGCUUAACUGGGGAACUGCGUCUGAUACUGGAUGGCUUGGAUUCGGGAGAGGAAUGCGGAAUUCCAGGUGUAGCGGUGAAAUGCGUAGAUAUCUGGAGGAACACCGGUGGCGAAGGCGGCAUCCUGGACCAACACUGACGCUGAGUGAGCGAAAGCCAGGGGAGCAAACGGG
rnacentral:rRNA from 1 species